AAAGAGCAGUGGGGGAGGAGUGGAGAGAGAAGUUUCAGAGAAGCAGAUUUUUGCUCGAAGAAAGGAAAAGACUUCCUAAUAAUUAGAACUGAGCCCAAAUGGAAUGGCUUGCCUUGGAAGGUUUUACCUGAUAAGAUGUGUCCAUGUCUCUGAGAGGGGAUCCAGGUGUCCUAAGGUCCCCAGCAGGGAUCUCCCAGAAUCCUUCUUGCUCCCUUCGGAAUCAUAGGACUUGGGUUUGAAUUCCAGCUCUGCCAUUUACUAGCUAUGUGACCUUGGGCAAGGAGACCUUGUGACAUGAGGCAGAGGUUUUCCCCAUCCCUGGGCCCAGCAAAGAGUAUAGGAGUCAUUGUAAAGCCUUGCGGAAUUGGUGCUGUCCGUCCACCCCCUUCUCCUCUCGAGGCUGGUUCCCCUCCUUGGCUAGAAGCAGAUCCAGCUCCUGUCCCCUGGCUCCCACCCUGUCUGGCCUCUGUUCUCCUUCCCUCAUAAGGCUGCCUGACUGCUCUGGAUCUCUCACCAGGUUUCUGGCCUUCGGGGCAGAGCACUUCUCCCCAGUGGCCCCCAGGUGGCGAGCUCGGCCUGUGCUGCUAUUUCAGCCUUCCAUGGGCGGCUGGAGAAAAGCAUUCGUUCAAGGAACGGGGGGAAUCUGCCUAUCUGUGCCCAACCCCAGCUCCAACCCUCGACCCUGGCCCAGAUCCUAGGAAGUCAACCAUCAGCGCUGAGAAUCAGCACAGUGUGUGGCUGACAGACAAGAGAGAAGGAAGUAAGUGAUGGGGGGGAUGGAGAGCCUGUACCCGGGAAAUAGACUGUAAGCUGCAGAUUCUGCUCACACGCUCUUAAGCUGAGCAAAGCAAAGGCACCACAGCCUGCUCCCCAUGCAUGGGGUCUUCCAGACUCCAAGUCACCUCUAGGCAGAUAAUCCAACCUUCCUACUUCCAGCUGAGGACACUGAGGCCAAGAGAAAUGAGGACCAGCACCCUCUCCAAUGGUGGCAUAAGGGGUUGGAGAAAAGAAGAAAAGGACUGGAGCGCUAUUAAGAGGAGCAGGACAGAGAGUUCAUCAGAGAACAAUCAAAAGAUUGUCAUGAAGGCCCUACUGAGAUUAGGUCUUCAUCUUUCGAAAGUUUUCUUGUUACGUGAAGCUUGGAGAUUAGGAGUAUUUGGCAUGGCAACAUCUAAGCAUCAAUAAAUAGGCAUUUGUAAACCAUGAAUUAUGUGUGAGACACUGUGCUAGGCACUGGAUUUACAGAGGAAAAAGCAAAAACAGUCCCUGUC